rnacentral:rRNA from 1 species
UACGGAGGGUGCGAGCGUUGUCCGGAAUCACUGGGCGUAAAGGGCGCGUAGGCGGCGCGGGCAGUCAACGGUGAAAGCUUGGGGCUCAACCCCGAGUCGGCCGUCGAUACUCCCGGGCUUGAGCACUGUAGAGGCAGGUGGAAUUCCGGGUGUAGCGGUGGAAUGCGUAGAGAUCCGGAAGAACACCGGUGGCGAAGGCGGCCUGCUGGGCAGUAGCUGACGCUGAUGCGCGACAGCAUGGGGAGCAAACAGG